rnacentral:tRNA from 1 species
GGCCCCGUAGCUCAGCUGGAUAGAGCAACUGCCUUCUAAGCAGUAGGUCGCAGGUUCGAGCCCUGCCGGGGUCG